rnacentral:lncRNA from 1 species
CUUUCCCUCAUGCUUGCCAUGGAAUAUGCAAGUAAGAUAAUCUUUCCAUUACUUACAGAAAGCAAUUAAAAAAAAAAACACUUUUAGCUAAACUUUCCUUUUUUUUUUUUCUUCUUAAGGGGCAAGAGAAGGGAAAUGAGGGGGAGAAGAAUAUUUUUUCUUUUUGCAGUCUCCAACAUUUGGCUUUUUCCAUUUGUGGCAGAUCACUGUAAUGCUAUUGUAAAACAACUUCCUGCCCCUUUUGGCUCAGGUUCCAGAAGCUGCUAGGCUAAGUUCAUAGCACAAACUUUUUUCCCCCUUGCCGAAGAAGAGAGACAAAAAAAAAUUUCCUGCAAAUUAUUUUCCCCCUUUUCUGGCUAAUGGAUUCAUAAGGUGAAUUUAUUGCAGCUCCUUAAGAAUGUUACACAAGAGACGUCGGUAUCCCAGCUGGAUAAUUCAUAAGCUUAAAAGAUUUCCCUGCUGAACAAAGAACAGCACUCGGAGAUGAAAAAUAAUAAACAUCUUUCAGAGAAAGGAAGAGAGGGAAACUUACUGCUGUCAAGAAAACCAAAUGGAAAAACCCUUCCUAGCAUACGUGUCCCAUUGAGAAGCAUGGAGUUUAGCCCAGACAGCUCACAACAACCUCCACAGAGGCCAAGUGUAAAAGAAGAAACUUCCAAAGUAUCUGUUUGUACCAUGAUGGGCAGCAUUUUCACCACAGGUGGGUGACAGACUGGCACUCAGUAC